AAGCAGAUAGCUCAGUUGGUAGAGCAUGAGACUCGUAACCUCAGGCUUGUAGGUUUGAGACCCACAUUGUGUG